GCACGUUAGAGACUACAGGGAUUGCCUCAGUACGGCGAGUGAAGCGGCAACAGCUCAAUUUGAAAUCUGGCCCCUCGGGCCCGAUGUGUAAUUUGUAGAGGGAGUUUCGUCUGCGGCUCCGGCCUACCUUCCUUGCUACAGGGCGGCAGAGAGGGAGAGAAUCCCGCACGGCGGCGGUUGUCUCUUCCGUGCGAAACCCCUUCGACUAGUAGAGUUGUUGGUUGAUGCUGCUCAAUGGGGGAUUUCAUUGUAAAUACCGAAGACCGAUAGCGCACAAGUAGAGUGAUCAAGAUGAAGCUUGGAAAGCAGAGUCAAACAGUCCGUGAAAUUGAGGAGCGCUUGCAACCAAUGCUCGCGGGUUCAGCCUCCCUUGGGGGGCACUCCCGCGAUCAGGCCACAUCGGUUGCGGGUGGAUAAGCCUCCGGAAUGUAGCUCCCCUCGGGGAGUGUUAUAGCCCGGGUGUAAUGGCCCACCGAGGACCCCUUUCUAGAUGCUGGCGUAAUGGUUGUAAACCCGUCUUGAAACACGGCCAAGGAGUCUAACAUUUGAGUGUUUGGGUGUCAAACCCAUGCGGAAAAGUGAACGGGUGGAGCCUUUCGGGCCCAUACCGAUCUGAUGUUGGAUGGAUUGAGUAGAGCAUACUGUUCACCGAAAGAUGUGAAUAUGCGAAUAGUGAACCAGAGGAAACUCUGGGGAGCUCGCGUCGUGAAUGAUCGCAUUUGCUAUAGGGGAAAUACUAAUCGAGCCAUGUAGUGAUCGGCAUCUAGAGAUACUCUGUGGGCGGGGCUUCCAAGCCCCCAGUAGUCCCCCCGUCCGGGGGCGACAUUGCCGGUCUUCGGGGACGCCCUCUGGGUUACCUGCCCUGAGCUUCGGCUCAGUCACAGACUAAGUGUUCGGUGCGCCAAAUUCUCGUCUAGGAGAUAGUAUAGCGGCGAAAGUGUAAUCGAGCAUGUAUUGCAC
rnacentral:rRNA from 1 species